rnacentral:rRNA from 1 species
GACGGAGGGUGCUAGCGUUGUUCGGAAUCACUGGGCGUAAAGGGCGCGUAGGCGGCCUUGCAAGUCGGUUGGUGAAAGCCCGGGGCUCAACCCCGGAGGUGCGGCCGAGACUGCAGGGCUGGAGGCCGGAAGAGGAGGGUGGAAUACCCAGUGUAGCGGUGAAAUGCGUAGAGAUCGGGAGGAACACCAGAGGCGAAGGCGCCUAGCUGGACAGAUACUGACACUCAACAACGAAAGCGUGGGGAGCAAACAGG